rnacentral:misc_RNA from 1 species
CAGCGCCUUUAUGAGGCCGUAGAGAUUAUUCGUGCUUUAUGGCAGGGCGAGACGGUAACAAGGGAAAACGGACCAUUGAAAGCGCAUAAGGCGAAAUUAUGGACCUUGCCGCCAAAACCGCCGAAAAUUUAUGGGGCGGUUUUAUCAGAGGAAAGCGCUGCAUGGGCAGGAAAAUGGGCAGACGGAUUGAUCACUGUGAAAUACCCGAUCGAACAAAUGCAGAAAAUUUUACAGGCUUUUCAAAGUAAUGGCGGGCAAAGCAAACCGAUUGUUUUGCAAUUGCAGCUCAGCUGGGCGGAAAGCAAGGAACAGGCCAGAGCAAAUGCCUAUGAUCAAUGGCGCCAUGCCGCAGCGAAAAUAGAAAAGGAUUCCAUUCAAACGCCUGAACAAUUCGACGCCGCUUGCCAGC